rnacentral:rRNA from 1 species
GGGGUAGCAAUACCCUGAUGGCGACCGGCAAACGGGUGCGGAACACGUACGCAACCUUCCUUUAACUGGAGAAUAGCCCCUCGAAAGAGGGAUUAAUACUCCGUAACAUGAUGAUAAGGCAUCUUAUUAUUAUUAUAGCUCCGGCGGUUAGAGAUGGGCGUGCGCCUGAUUAGGUAGUUGGCGGGGUAACGGCCCACCAAGCCUGCGAUCAGUAACUGGUGUGAGAGCACGACCAGUCACACGGGCACUGAGACACGGGCCCGACUCCUACGGGAGGCAGCAGUAAGGAAUAUUGGUCAAUGGACGCAAGUCUGAACCAGCCAUGCCGCGUGGAGGAUUAAGGCCCUCUGGGUUGUAAACUCCUUUUAUCUGGGAAGAAAUCCAUAUAUUCUUAUAUGGUUGACGGUACCAGAGGAAUAAGCACCGGCUAACUCCGUGCCAGCAGCCGCGGUAAUACGGAGGGUGCAAGCGUUAUCCGGAUUCACUGGGUUUAAAGGGUGCGUAGGCGGGUAAGUAAGUCCGUGGUGAAAUCUCUGAGCUUAACUCAGAAACUGCCGUGGAUACUAUUUGCCUUGAAUAUUGUGGAGGUGAGCGGAAUAUGUCAUGUAGCGGUGAAAUGCUUAGAUAUGACAUAGAACACCAAUUGCGAAGGCAGCUCACUACACAAUCAUUGACGCUGAGGCACGAAAGCGUGGGGAUCAAACAGGAUUAGAUACCCUGGUAGUCCACGCCCUAAACGAUGAUUACUCGACAUCAGCGAUACACUGUUGGUGUCUGAGCGAAAGCAUUAAGUAAUCCACCUGGGAAGUACGAUCGCAAGAUUGAAACUC